rnacentral:lncRNA from 10 species
AAAAAGAAAACCCUCCAAAACAGCAAAAUUGAAUAGGUAUCCACAGUCAACUUUAUCCUGAAAAUUGCCUAGAAAUACUGGUUGUGAUUACACAGCAUCCUGAGACCAAUGAAUCUUUAGACAGUAAUAAUUUCCUACUCUAAAGCUAUUCUCUACUUCCUCCUUAGUGACAGAGCUCCUUGCUGCUCAAAUUUUAUGCCAGAUAAAAUAUUCACCUUCUCGGACUCCCUGGCACCAGGCAUGGCCAUGUAAUCCUACAGCACAGCUGAUGAAAGAGAAGACAUCUUGCUGCUAUUUGACAAGCAAGAAGAUAAAAGCUUUCCUAUAAAGAUGAUGGAGCAAAAAAAUAGAAGGGGCCUAGACUCCCUACCUUCACACUUCCUGCUAUAAAAGCAUUGCUAUUAUAAGGUUAAUCUGCAGAAACAGACUUCUAUGUCAUAUGCUUAAAUGCAUCAAAAUUCAUACAAUAUCCAUUAAAUUGGUAAAAGUAUCCAUUUUAAAGGAUUAAUCUGAGGGACCCACAGACACUUAACACAAUCAAAUCUCAGAAAAAAAAUCAGUUAUUUCAUUGUGAUUUUGAGGCUGAUCUUUUAUGAUCUUUUAGUUAUCAAACUGUUAAAUACAUUUUAACUUUCAAAUUUUAUGAAUAAAGGAGAUGAAUCCUGUUAUUUUCUCAGUG